GCAGUAAUGGCCAAAUGGUUAAGGCGAUGGACUAGAAAUCCAUUGGGGUCUCCCCACACAGGUUCGAAUCCUGUCGACUGCG
rnacentral:tRNA from 1 species